rnacentral:rRNA from 2 species
GAUUAAUGCGACGUAAAGCGAGCGCAGUCGGUUCCUCAAGUCUGAUGUGAUAGGCUUUCGCCUCACCGGAAGACGUGCAUCGGAGACUGGGAAACUUGAGAGCAGAAGACGACAGUGGAAGUACCACGUGCAGCGCUGAAAUGCGUUGAUAUAUGGAAGAACACCAGUGGCGAUGUAGUCUGUCUGGUCUGUCACUGACGCUGAGGCUCGAAUGCAUGGGUAGCCAGCAGGAUUAGAUACCCUGGUAGUUUAUGCCGUAAACGAUGAGUGCUAGGCGUUGGAGGGUUUCCGCCAUUCACCUCCGCAGCUAACGCAUUUAGCACUCUGCGUGGGGAGUACGACGGCAAGGCGGAGACUCAAAGGUCUUGACGGAGGCCCGCACAAGCGGUGGAGCAUGUGCUUUAAUUCGAAGCAACGCGAAGAACCUUACCAGGUCUUGACAUCCUGUGACCACUCUAGAGAUAGAGCUUUCCCUUCGGGGACAAAGUGACAGGUGGUGCAUGGUCGUCGUCAGUUCGUGUCGUCAGAUGAUGGGUUAAGUCCCGCAACGAGCGCAACCCUUAUUACUAGUUGCCAGCAUUUAGUUGGGCACUCUAGUGAGACUGCCGGUGACAAACCGGAGGAAGGUGGGGACGACGUCAAAUCAUCAUGCCCCUUAUGACCUGGGCUACACACGUGCUACAAUGGAGGGUACAACGAGUUGCGAGACCGCGAGGUUUAGCUAAUCUCUUAAACCCAUUCUCAGUUAGGAUUGUAGGCUUCAAUUAGCCUACAUGAAGCCGGAAUCGGUAGUAAUCGGGGAUCAGCAUGCCGCGGUGAAUACGUUCCCGGGCCUAGUACACACCGCCCGUCACUCCCUCAGAGUUUGUAACCCCC